rnacentral:rRNA from 1 species
CCUACGGGCGGCAGCAGUGAGGAAUAUUGGUCAAUGGCCGAGAGGCUGAACCAGCCAAGUCGCGUGAGGGAAGAAUGUCCUAUGGAUUGUAAACCUCUUUUGUCAGGGAGCAAAGUCACCCACGUGUGGGUGGUGGAGAGUACCUGAAGAAAAAGCAUCGGCUAACUCCGUGCCAGCAGCCGCGGUAAUACGGAGGAUGCGAGCGUUAUCCGGAUUUAUUGGGUUUAAAGGGUGCGUAGGCGGGUUAUCAAGUCAGCGGUAAAAUCGUGGAGCUCAACUCCAUCCAGCCGUUGAAACUGGUGGUCUUGAGUGGGCGAGAAGUAUGCGGAAUGCGUGGUGUAGCGGUGAAAUGCAUAGAUAUCACGCAGAACUCCGAUUGCGAAGGCAGCAUACCGGCGCCCGACUGACGCUGAGGCACGAAAGCGUGGGUAUCGAACAGGAUUAGAUACCCUGGUAGUC